rnacentral:lncRNA from 1 species
GAGUACCCGUCUUUGUCACCAAGGGAGCAAUAAUUUUUACCGUGGUAACAACAGCCACAUUUCUGCCUCUAAAAAUCCCCAGAAGUAAACCCUGUUUCUGACAGUUCUUUGCCCUCAUUCAAAGCCUCACCAUAGUUGAACCUAUAUACUGAUUUGUGAUCUAUAGUACUUAGAUUAAUCCCUAGAGACCCUAAAAGAUUUCAAGAUUAUAUUAUAAUGAAGGUUGAAUAAUUUUUAAUUAAUAAAAUCUUUAUGGAAUAAUUUUUAACUAACACUCAUGAGAAUCAGACACUACUUAUAAUGAUAAAGUAUCAUUUAAAAUGCAAACUCUGCAGACAUACUAGGGAAUAACCACAUUAAUUACUCACUACAAGCCAUUAAAAUGUUUCGUAGAGAUGCUUCAUGCAGUCUCCACCACCUGGGAUGCCCUUCUGCUUUCUCCCUGAUAAUUCAAGUCUAUUGUUGCCUUCAAGACCCAACUUCAAUCUCACUUUUUGCAAGAAGACUUCUCUUUCCAGCUCCACUAGCACAUAAAUGCAUACAGGUCACUCUAUAAUUAAGUUCUUUUAGGUUUAACACUAUCUCUUCUAUUUUGUUUUCUUUGCAGAGCUUACUAAAACAGUUUAAAUACAAAAGAUUAAAUACCCCACAGAGUGCAAGAUACCAUACUGUCCAUGCCAAUGGAUAAAUACCAAGAAAGUAAAUUUAUCAGUUCAUCAGUCAAUGCAUAAAGCCAUAUAUUUGGAACCCUGAAAGUCAUACACUGGAGCUUAAGUUUACCAAAUAGUAUUAUUCUUGCCUAAAAGGUAUAGAUUCAGAUUGGAAGUAAUGAGAUAGGAGUUCAAGCUGUGUUUGGCCAUUUAACCAAACAUUAGACAAGUUAUUUUACAUGUCUUAGAAAUCAUUUUCCUCGUUUUUUAAAGUGCAAUACUAAAUUAAAUGAGAGAAUGAAUGAGCAAAGAUCUCAUAAGUGAUGUGUUAGUCAUCACCAGUAUUAUUUAAAUGAAGAAAAAAGAAAUUAGGCACAGGAAAAAUCUGUGCAGUAAGCUUGGUCUAGAGAUUCUGAAACAUGCACUUAGAAAUAUAAUAUUUGAACCAAACAAAGGUAUUGUUGUUCCUUAGUAUUCAGUGUAUUUGUAUUCUCUAGCUUAUUAUGUUGUAAUUGAUAGCAAAGCUAUAAAUGGCUUUGGGGAUUGCUUCAUAUCUCACAUUAUUUCCUUGCCGUGGAAUAACGUAAUCAAGUGGAAAUAGAGAAAAUUUUUUGUCAAAGAUUUUUUUCUCUAGGCAAGAUGCUGCUUCUUUCUAAGUAUCUUUUGGCUGUUGACUAUUUUAUAACAAUUGGUAUAAAUAUAAAAUGGUAAGCAAUGUUUAUUGUUUGCACACAAGUGAGUCUGAAUUGGGGGCUUUUACUGCCAGUCAUUCCCAAUGCAAUCUCAAGAAUGUAAUAGGCAAUCAGACAGUGAUUUAUCUGACCCAUUAUUGAAAAAGAACCAAGAAAAAUCUAAACAUCAUUUGGCUCACUCAUGUGCACAUUGCAAAUGCAAAACAGUGAAUUAUCUGAGCUUUGUCAUGAUUUUCUAUGCUAUAAACAUAUUUAGUAUUUGAAAAUUUGUUUUUAUUGCUGCCCUUAAUUUUUCUUUGUUCAACUGUAGAAAGAUAAACAGGAGGAAAAUAAAUGUAAUGGAGUUUCCUAAAGGAAAGAUAUCUAAAAAUCAAGCCAGUGGCUGCACUAGAAAAUUAAUUUUAUAAGCUUUCGUGGGGUGAGGUGUAUUGUUGCAAUGUCAUGACUAAAUUCCAGCUAGGGUGAUUACUUCCGUCUAUACUGCCAGCAGGAAAUGCCUCCCGUGGUCUGGCCAUUGGACUCUAUCACACCACUAAAACUGUUGGGUAAGUGGUCCACUAAGCAGCCGUCACGUGGUUACAUUUCAACUGAAGGUGAAGUAGGCUUGUGCAUUGAGUGUGUUUUAAUUCCAAAACAAAGGCCAAAUCACACACUAUGCUUUUAGUUAUUUAUUUAUGAAGAAUGAUUAUGUUAUUAAGUUCAUAUAACCAAAAAAAAAAAA